CAGUAGCCGCGGGAACACGAGGGAGCUAGCGUUGUUCGGAAUUACUGGGCGUGAAGCGCACGUAGGCGGUUAUUCAAGUCAGAGGUGAAAGCCCAGUGCUCAACACUGGAACUGCCUUUGAAACUAGAUAACUUGAAUCCAGGAGAGGUGAGUGGAAUUCCGAGUGUAGAGGUGAAAUUCGUUGAGAUCGGAAAGAACACCAACGGCGAAAGCACUCUGCUGGGCCGACACUGACACUGAGAGACGAAAGCGUGGGGAGCAAACAGGAUUAGAUACCCCGGUAGUCCCUGUCUCUUAUACC
rnacentral:rRNA from 1 species